ACUCAAAUGAAUUGACGGGGGCCCGCACAAGCGGUGGAUCAUGUGGUUUAAUUCGAAGCAACGCGAAUAACCUUACCUGGGUUUGAAAUCCUGAGAAUUUUGUAGAGAUAUGAAAGUGCCCGCAAGGGAACUCAGAGACAGGCGCUGCAUGGCUGUCGUCAGCUCGUGUUGUGAAAUGUUGGGUUAAGUCUCGCAACGAGCGCAACCCCCGUUCUUAGUUGCCAGCAUUAAGUUGGGCACUCUAAGGAGACUGCCGGAGUUAAUCCGGAGGAAGGUGGGGAUGACGUCAAGUCCUCAUGGCCCUUAUGUCCAGGGCUACACACGUGAUACAAUGGCCAGUACAAAGGGAUGCAAGCCCGUGAGGGGGAGCAAAUCUCAAAAAGCUGGUCUCAGUCCGGAUUGAAGUCUGCAACUCGACUUCAUGAAGUUGGAAUCGCUAGUAAUCGCGGAUCAGCACGCCGCGGUGAAUACGUUCCCGGGCCUUGUACACACCGCCCGU
rnacentral:rRNA from 1 species